CGUAGGGGGCAAGCGUUGUCCGGAAUUAUUGGGCGUAAAGCGCGUGUAGGCGGCCAGAUAAGUCCGCUGUGAAAUCUCGAGGCUCAACUUCGAGCUGUCGGUGGAACUGUCUGGCUAGAGUCCGGAAGAGGAGAAUGGAAUUCCUGGUGUAGCGGUGAAAUGCGCAGAUAUCAGGAAGAACACCCGUGGCGAAGGCGGUUCUCUGGGACGGUACUGACGCUGAGACGCGAAAGCGUGGGGAGCGAACAGGAUUAGAUACCCUGGUAGUCCACGCCGUAAACGAUGGGUGCUAGGUGUGGGCGGUGUCGACUCCGUCCGUGCCGAAGCUAACGCAUUAAGCACCCCGCCUGGGGAGUACGGCCGCAAGGCUA
rnacentral:rRNA from 1 species